GUGUGAUCGGAUGUUGAUAUAUGGUGUUAUUGUGAACGAAUAGAUUCAUAGAUAUGAACUUUACGCCUUUAGCCUAAUUUUAUAAUCCUUGAUAAAAGUGAAGUAGCUAUACUGUCAGUAAUGUAAUGAGUAGUAAAAUAUUAUGAAUGGUAUGAAAACUCCAGCCUCAAGAUGAAUGUUUAAUAAUUGUUGUUGAAAUGUUGGUAGAGAAUUAAAA